UUUUUGGUCUUAGUACCAACUUUUGGAUGGUUGUUGUAACAAGAUUUCUUCUUGGUAGUUUAAAUGGUUUGCUUGGACCAAUAAAGGCAUAUGCUGCUGAGAUUUUUCGUGAAGAAUAUCAAGCACUAGGAAUGUCAACGAUUAGUAGUGCAUGGGGCAUUGGAUUGAUUAUUGGCCCAGCUUUAGGAGGUUUUCUUGCUCAGGUAAGUUUGCUAGUUUAA